CGGAGGCGGGGCUCCGAAGGAGGAGGCGCGCCGAGGGGGGCCAGCCGGGGAGGGAGGCGGAGACCCGGGCCCGCGGGCCUGCGGCGCCCCCGCCUCCGGCUCCGCGCUCCCAGGGCCGCCCCCACGCCGGGAGGGGGCGCGAGGGGGCGCCUGUGGCUCGGUUCGGACACCUUCUCCCGCCUCCUGCCGCGCACCCCGGCCUCGGGCUCCGCGCAGCGUGACAGCUCCUCGGGUUUGGAGAGAAGGGUGACGGAAGGGUCAGAACCCUGGCGAGAACUCCCCACCGCCCACACUCACCUGAGGGCGGGCGGAAAUAGGAGCUUACAAUCAGCAUUUGACAAAUCUUCAAUGAGCCUCUACUGUGUGCCAGGUCCUGGCACAGAAAGUUGCUGAUUCCAGGACAAAUCAGACCUUAUUCCUGACCUCCAGCUGCUUAGUCUCAAGAAGAGGAAAGGAAAAUAAAGAGACAAAUAUAAUACAGUGUGAAAAGUACAACACUGGUCCAAUUUCAGUUCAUGAACUCAGAGCCAGAAAAGGGAAGUAGCCUUGAGACAAUAUCUUAAGAUAAGACUUCCGGGUAACAGAAAUUAGCAAGAAUGAAAAACAACCCAAGGAGCUUCCCCCACAUCCGCCAUCAGAACAGCUAAGCUUAAGACAAGUGACAACAUCAAGUGUUGGCAAGGAUGUGGAGCCCCUGGAACUCUCAUGCACACCUGGUGGAGAUGCAAAAUGGUACAGGUACUUUGGAAAACUGCUUGGCAACUUUAAUAAACAAAGAUCGGCCUGAGAUCCAGAAAUUCUACUCAUAGGUAUGUCUCCGAGAGAAAUGAAAACAUGUCCACAAAAACUGUAUGUAAAUCUUAACAGCUUUAUUCAUAAUAGUCCAAGACGGAGACAACCUAACUAUCUACUCAAAUAGGAGUUUGAAUAAACAGUGUGGUAAAUCCAUAGUAUGGGAUACCACACAGUAAUCAAAGUGGAUGAAUGAUUGCUGCCCACAACAACAC